rnacentral:rRNA from 1 species
CCCUUAGAUGUUCUGGGCCGCACGCGUGCUACACUGAUGCAUUCAACGAGUCUAAAACCUGGUCUGAUAGGGCUGGGUAAUCUUUUGAAAGUGCAUCGUGAUUGGGAUAGAUGAUUGCAAUUCUUCAUCUUCAACGAGGAGUGCCUAGUAAACGCAAGUCAUCAGCUUGCAUUGAUUACGUCCCUGCCCUUUGUACACACCGCCCGUCGCUCCUACCGAUUGAAUGAUCCGAUGAAUACCAUGGAUUGAGAGUACGAAUAGGUUCGCUUAUUUCUGCUGCUCGAGAAGUGGAGUAAAUCUUAUCAUUUAGAGGAAGGAGAAGUCGUAACA